GGUGAAGAAGGACGUGUUUGCUUCCCUUUCUGCCAUGAAUGUUUCCUGAGGCCUCUCCAGCCCUGUGGAAAUGUGCCUAAAAGCCAUGAAUCUGAACCAAGUCCUGGAAUGUGAAGUCUGACAACCACAAAAAAACUAUAUCCUCGGAGCUUGCUUGCCACUCUUCGCGGCCAUGGGAAGAAGCCCUCUUAUCACCUCUACUUUUUAUAAUUCGUGCAAGUGCUUCUCAUUACCAAUACCUCACUUAGGUUACUUUUAGCUUCAGAGGAUCUGAGAAAUGCCAUUUUAAAAAUACACUUGCCCUGUUGUAACAGAGAAUUUAAAAGGAAAAAGGAAGAAAUGUCAUAAACAAUAAACCGUUUUACAGAUAAAAAAAUUUAUCUCUACC
rnacentral:lncRNA from 1 species